rnacentral:lncRNA from 1 species
GGAAGUGAGAGAGAGAAAGGGAAAAACGAAAAGUGAAAAAUAGCCGUACCAAAGAAACGCAUUGGGAACCGAAAACCGAACGUGUGGGAUACUGAAUACGAAAUUGGGCCAAUUAAAUUACUUCCCUCUCUGUCACGGGUUCCCCUUCACCGUCUCUCUGUCCCCACUCCCGCUUAAAUUAAUAAAAGCACCACUUUCAUCUUCUUCUUCUUCUUCUUCUUUUUUUUUAAAUAAUUUCUUUUAUAUUUCAAUAACGCAAAAUUGAAAAUUCAACGACACCCUUCCUGAAGCAUCACGGAGGCAUUACGGACGCGAAUAAAAAUAUAAAACCAAGGCUCCGACGAAGGAACGAACAUAACUCUGACAAGAUUGGAGUUUUUCUAAUGUAAAAAACGACGUCAUUUUGAUUCUAAUUUUAUCGUUCCCAGGAUUAUGUUCUCUGAUCAUUUUUUUACGUUACAAAUAAUUGUUAUUGGGGAGAUGAUCAAUAUUUGUCCUACUGAAAUGAAUGUUUAUUAUUUAGUCUCUUAUUAUUAUUAUAAUAGUCAAUAAUUUCAUCCGGUAAAAAUAUUAUCUUUAUUUUGAAAUGU